GUCUUUUUGAGUAUAAUUUAAAGUCGAAUCUGCCCACUGAUUAUUAAUUAAAGGGCUGCAGUAUUUUGACUGUACAAAGGUAGCAUAAUAAUUAGUCUUUUAAUUGAAGACUUGUAUGAAAGAUUUGAUGAGAUAUAAACUGUCUCUUUUUUAUAAUUAGAAUUUAAUUUUUCAGUAAAAAAGCUGAAAUUAUUUUAAAAGACGAGAAGACCCUAUAGAGUUUUAUAAUUAAAUUAAUUAUAUAUUUUUAUUUAAAUUAAAAGUUAAUUGAUUUAAUUAUUUUGUUGGGGUGAUAAAAAAAUUAAAUUAACUUUUUUUUAAAAUUGAACAUUAAUUUAUGAAUAAUUGAUCCAUAAUUUAUGAUUAAAAGAAAAAAUUACCUUAGGGAUAACAGCGUAAUUUUUUUUUUUAGUUCUUAUAAGAAAAAAAGUUUGCGACCUCGAUGUUGGAUUAAGAUAAAAUUUAAAUGCAGAAGUUUAAAAUUUUGAUCUGUUCGAUCAUUAAAAUCUUACA
rnacentral:rRNA from 1 species